rnacentral:rRNA from 1 species
UACGUAGGGCGCAAGCGUUGUCCGGAAUUAUUGGGCGUAAAGAGCUCGUAGGCGGUUUGUCGCGUCGGGAGUGAAAACCUACAGCUUAACUGUGGGCUUGCUUUCGAUACGGGCAGACUUGAGGCAUGCAGGGGAGAACGGAAUUCCUGGUGUAGCGGUGAAAUGCGCAGAUAUCAGGAGGAACACCGGUGGCGAAGGCGGUUCUCUGGGCAUUACCUGACGCUGAGGAGCGAAAGUGUGGGGAGCGAACAGG